UCCUUGGUCCAUUUGGAAGCCCCUUCCACCACCUAGAAGGGCCAGCUUUCUGCAGAGCCUCAUUUGCUUCAGUGAGCUCUGUGUGAGAAAGCAUAGCCAGGGCUAAGCAGUGAUGGAGCAAGUAGGGUAACAUGACCAACACAAGGAGCAAUGCCCCCUUGUCACAUGAGAAGAGUGGAAGCACUAACCUGAGGGUGGUGAAGAGGAUGCAAAUGCAAGCCGUGAUGUCUUCAAAGCCUCCAGAGUCCUUCCAGGGUCCUGCUGGAGAACUCCAUUUCUUGUACACCAAAGGUUGGCUGUGCAAUGCUGCCUCUCCCAGAGCUGAAAAGACCAAUUAUAUGCUGCUUGCUGCUGCUUGAAUCUCCAGUCCAUGGCAUAAAGCACAGGCUCAUAUGACAGUCACUGGAGGACACAAUAGUAAAAAUGGAGUGGAGCCAGGAGGGCUAACAAAGCAUUAAAGGAGCCUACAACAUCUCUCCCUGCCCCUCCACCCCUUCCCCACUUGGCUGCUGGAAAAUAUUUCUUCAGAUUUGCUGUGUACCUUUGCUGCAAAACCUGACUGCACGUCUGUGGGUUCGUAGAUUAUCUGCACCGUGACAGCCAGACUGUGAAACCUUUGCUUGUGACUGCAGGUCUGGCAGUCUGCUGGCUUCAGUGGGGCUGCUGCCGCGGGAUGCUGUUUUUCAGCGUGAGUAAUGGUGUCAUGAUCUGGCCCAUAAAUUCUGGGUAAUUUGUAAAGUGCCUGUCACAAAGUUAUCUAAAUAGCAAUGGCACAUUGAAAACUGUUCUGAGCUGUUGCAGAGAGUAGUCUUCUCAGUUUGUCUUUCCAGUACAACUUUGUUCUUACAUAGUUUGGUAUGUUCCUUUCCAACCUCAUUUAAGAGCAUCUGAAUUCUGUUCAUAUUGUGGUAAACCAGAUACCAGCAAAACACAAUUGCUGAAGGCAUUUUGAUCCUUAAUAUAGUCAAUAAACAUACUUGAAUGGGACUUCAGAAUAGGUAUUAGAGAGGGCAACAAUUACCUCCCUUCUUCUUUUGUGGUUUCUGAAUGAAUUAAUUUUGUCUCUGUUUGGGCUUUCCUUUGUAUGUUUUUGUUUUGUUUUGUUUUGUUUGUUUGUUUGUUUUUCCUAGAGUUUCAAGAGACUGAUUCUCACUGGCACAAUUCCAUGGAAGUCAGAUUUCUAAGCUGCAAGUGUCGUUGCUGUUCCUGGUUGUGCCUAUGAUGUCUGUGGUUGUACAGACUUAACAGAAAGUGCUUCAUUCCUCACUUCCCAGUAUUCCAUCCACACGAGAGCACUGAUGGCAGAAAUCUUCUUGUGCUCCCCUGGGCUGGAAAAGAAUGUCAAUUGCAAUAGAUCAUGGAUGGACAACUUGCUCUGGAAAAAAAGAGUAUGAAUAUAGUAAACCUUUUUGGUUUGAAUCAUUCAAAUAUCUAUAAGAACAUGUAUUUCUUCAAUGCUAAUACUCAGAAAGCGUUAAAUUAUACAUAUAUGCUGCCUCUUCAAAGCACAAAACCUGUUUGUAAUCUCUAACAAUAAUCACAAUGGAAAAUGGAUAAGAAGACGUACCAUCUGCCCCUUUAAAUAAAAAGUGGCAAGUAGCAUGUAUUAUCCCAUUUACAAAACUGCACUACAGAGGUGAAAAAAUCUGUUCUCUAAGGACACUGAGAUGGUUAAAGGCUUGGAACAUCUGACAUACAAGGAGAGGCUAAGACAGCUGGGACUGUUCAGCCUUCAUAAGGGAAAGCUCAGGGGGAUCUUAUCACCUGUAUAAACACCUGAUGGAGGCCGAGUAAAGAGGAUGAAGUCUGACUCCUUGCAGUGGUGUCCAAUGAAGGAGAGGACAAGAGGCAAUGGGCACAAG